UACGGGGGGAGCAAGCGUUGUUCGGAUUUACUGGGCGUAAAGGGCGCGUAGGCGGCCACCGCAAGUCGACUGUGAAAUCUCCGGGCUUAACCCGGAAAGGUCAGCCGAUACUGCGGGGCUAGAGUGCAGAAGGGGCAACUGGAAUUCUCGGUGUAGCGGUGAAAUGCGCAGAUAUCGGGAGGAACACCAAUGGCGAAGGCAGCUUGCUGGGAC
rnacentral:rRNA from 1 species